AUUAGCUUAGUGGUAGAGCAUUCGAUUCGUAAUCGAAAGG
rnacentral:tRNA from 1 species